AUGGCAAAUGGACGUCAAAAUGGUAUUCCUAAUGGUUUAUUUAAGAAAGAAUUGUAUAUGAUGCAGCCGGAAGGUUUUGUCGAUCCUAAGAAUGUUGACAAGGUGUGCAAGCUCCAACGCUCGAUCUAUGGGCUGGUGCAAGCAUCUCUGAGUUGGAACAUUCAUUUUGAUGAGAUGAUCAAAGCGUUUGGGUUUACGCAGACUUAUGAAGAAGCCUGCAUUUACAAGAAAGUGAGUGGGAGCUCUGUAGCAUUUCUCAUAUUGUAUGUGGAUGACAUAUUGUUGAUGGGAAAUGAUAUAGAAUUCUUGGAAAGCAUAAAGACCUAUUUGAACAAGUGUUUUUCAAUGAAGGAUCUUGGAGAAGCUGCUUACAUAUUAGGCAUCAAGAUCUAUAGAGAUAGAUCGAGACGCCUCAUUGGUCUUUCACAAAGUACGUACCUUGACAAGAUAUUGAAGAAGUUCAAUAUGAAUCAGUCAAAGAAGGGGUUCUUGCCUGUAUUGCAAGGUACGAGAUUGAGCACGGCUCAAUGCCCGACCACGACAGAAGAUAGAGAAAAGAUGAGUGUCGUCCCCUAUGCCUCGGCCAUAGGGUAUAUCAUGUAUACUAUGUUGUGUACCAGACCUGAUGUAAACCUUGCCGUAAGUUUGGUAGGAAGGUACCAAAGUAAUUCCGGCAUGGAACACUGGACAACGGUCAAGAAUAUCCUGAAGUACCUGAAGAGGACUAAGGAUAUGUUUAUCGUUUAUGGAGGUGACGAAGAGCUCGUCGUAAAGGGUUAUGUCGAUGCUAGCUUCGACACAAAUCUGGAUGACUCUAAGUCACAAACUGGAUACGUGUAUAUUUUGAAUGGUGGGGCAGUAAGCUGGUGCAGUUGCAAGCAAAGCAUUGUGGCGGGAUCUACAUGUGAAGCGGAGUAA
rnacentral:rRNA from 1 species